AUUCCUGCUCCCAGGUACCUAAUCAUCGAGAACUUCAUCCCGCCAGAGGAGAAGAACAAGAUCAUGAACCGGCUUUUCCUGGACUGUGAGGAGGAGCAGUGGAAGUUCCAACCACUGGUGCCAGCCGGCGUUAACAGCCAGAUGAAGAAGCGGCCAACAUCUGCAGUGGGCUACAAGAGGCCUAUCAGCCAGUAUGCUCGGGUUGCCAUGGCAAUGGGGUCCCACCCCAGGUACAGGGCUGAAAACAUAAUGUUCCUGGAGUUGGACGUGUCCCCUCCAGCUGUCUUUGAGAUGGA
rnacentral:sRNA from 1 species